rnacentral:rRNA from 1 species
UACGGAGGGGGCUAGCGUUAUCCGGAGUUACUGGGCGUAAAGGGCGUGUAGGUGGUUUCGUAAGUCUGGCGUGAAAUUUUUCGGCUUAACCGGGAAAGGUCGUCGGAUACUGCGGAGCUAGAGGACGGUAGAGGCGUGUGGAAUUCCGGGUGUAGUGGUGAAAUGCGUAGAGAUCCGGAGGAACACCAGUGGCGAAGGCGACACGCUGGGCCGUACCUGACACUGAUGCGCGACAGCAUGGGGAGCAAACAGG